UACGUAGGGUGCAAGCGUUGUCCGGAAUUAUUGGGCGUAAAGAGCUCGUAGGCGGUUUGUCGCGUCUGCUGUGAAAACUCGGGGCUUAACUCCGGGCCUGCAGUGGGUACGGGCAGACUAGAGUGCGGUAGGGGAGACUGGAAUUCCUGGUGUAGCGGUGAAAUGCGCAGAUAUCAGGAGGAACACCGGUGGCGAAGGCGGGUCUCUGGGCCGUAACUGACGCUGAGGAGCGAAAGCGUGGGGAGCGAUCCGG
rnacentral:rRNA from 1 species